CGCUUUUGUGCAACGGUAGAGUUUGUUCUCUAUUAUAGGGAAGUGACUCUCCUGCCCUCCUAGUGUGCGGCACUGUUAUUGCUGCUCAAACUUGGAAGGUAGGGUGUGUGGAUGUGCGCGCGCGUCUAUCCGCACGCACCGAUCCCCGUUGCUGCUCCGACAUAUCAAUUAUAGUGUUCAGAGCAGUGCAAGGGAAGCCUUUGCCAAUGGAACAAACACAAUAACGAGGGAGGCAGUUCGUUGGGUCUGCAGUUACAGUCGCGCCGGUUUGCUGCUGGGCAGCGUCUCAAUAACGCUUUGCCGUCACUUAAAGCAGGCUGAGACGGCGAUCCCUAAGCCACUGGCGCCCUGCAGUCCGUUCAGCGUUACACGACCGUCCCUACAGUUGUCAGGACAUUUGUGGGGAGAUAGAAGGAAGUAAGACCUCCCGAAUGAAAACAACUAAGGAAUUUUAAAAAGCUGCAACAGAAGCCCAUUCAUGGCAAACCUGCUACAACUGUUGGAAUUGCCCCCCAACAGAAACCAAGGAGAAUAGUUACAGGAAGGAACUUCCAGAGAGAUAUUCUUGAUAAAUGGA